UGGGCUGAACGACGCCAGGCGGUGUUGGUCAGCCCUGUUUCCCUUGGCAUUGCAGCCGUGCCACAGAGGCAGGUGAGCUGCAGUCGUGCAUGCGCGCGAGUAUCAACUUGCUCGCUGUGGCGUGACGCGUUGAAGAAACAAAGAGACGCACUCAACCUUUUCUGCGUUGCUCUGCACAUUCGGCUGUGGCGGCGGUGCGCCUUCUCGUAAAACGUAUCGAGGACGAAAGACGGAGGGCGGACUGCGUGACGGGGGAAGAGGGAAGAGCGCAGGAGGGGGUGGGUGGGCUCAGCGAUCAACUGACCUUCGUCGACGUCACUCACAGCCGAACACGAACGACCACGUCUGUACAGUAGCCGUACCACAGGCAGUCCUUCGACGCUCCCCCACACCUAUACAUAGGCGUGCGACGAGGCGCACAGGCCAGGCCCACGUCAAACCAUAUCGACUUCGGGCAGGAUGAUAACACGGCGUGGCUCGCGCCUCAGCUCCGUCACUGAAGGCAACACGGAUGGACCUAGUAGCAUCUCUGCAGUGGCGACCACUGGCCCCUCCACUGCUUCGGUCGUUCCAUUGCCUCCGCCACCGCCGCCGACUCGUGUGAAGGCUGCGGUACGUGUCCGCCCCUUGAUGGAGACGGAGAUGGCACCCGCACCAAGCGCAUCGCCACCGACACAGCUGCAGGGCGACUGCCACAUGCGCGACACCGGCGGGACGAAGUCGUCGUAUUCCGAAGUCAUUCGUGUGGUCACAGCUGCGGGCCGACUCACGCGACCCAUGUCUAGCCCGUACAUGCUGGAGGUGCUGCGGCCGCCGGCCGGGGGGGCCGGACAUGGACGCAGCGCUCAUCGGCCCUCCAUGCCUACCCGUCAAUCACCACCGCAUAGCCUCGGGAACGGCGGCGGUGGCGGCGGGGGUAGUAGCGAGACAGCGAGGGUCUACGCCUUUGACUACUGCGCCGGCCCCAGCACGACGCAGGAGGAGUUCUUCGACAUGUUGGAGAUGCCGGCGCUGUGCGAGGCGGCGCUUGCGGGUGAGGUGGUGACGGUACUUUGCUUUGGGCAAACCGGCAGCGGCAAGACGUACUCGCUGAGCGGGCGGACGCUCCCCGCGCCGGCGACUGCGGGGCCCGUCUCCGACGCCCCUACGCCGCUGGUCGCCGAGGAUGGGCUGCAGUACCAGGCUGUGCACUACAUCGCGCGUCGACUCAAGGAGCUGCGUCGGACGUCAAGGAAGCUCAAGAGCAAGCGCAGAGACAGCGACGGCGCCGGAAAGGGCUCAGCUGAUCGCGGCGAUGAUGGUGGCGUCAGCGGCGCGUCUGUUGGAGCUUCUGCCUCCGCGGCCACGGUGGUGACGGCGAAGUGCUCCUACGUCGAACUUUACCAAGAGUCCCUCUACGACUUGCUCCAACCAGAUGGUGGCGACGGGGUGCGGUGCCGCUGGUCGGCCGCAGCCUCGUCUUUCUUCGUAGAGGGCUCACUGAUGGUGGAGUGCCGCGGCCGCGAGGACUUCCUGCUGGUGCUGCGCGAGGGACAGCGAAAUCGGCAGCGCGGCAGCCACGCACUCAACCUGGACAGCAGCCGCUCGCACGUCGUCUUCACCGUCUUCUUCGAAGUGCGAGACGAGGCGGCCGCUGCAACCUCUGCGGAGGGUGUCGACAGUGACGGCGCACCGUCGUCCUCGCCGCCGCCUGGCGCCUCAGCUCCCCUCUCGUCCAUCCGGUACGGGCGACUCGUCUUUGUGGAUCUUGCUGGAUCGGAGCGUCUCAAGAAGACGCUUUCGGCCAGCAAUGCGGAGGCGGGGUCUAUCAACAAGUCCCUCUUCACCCUCGGUCGUGUGCUGGAGCUCCUCUCCGCCUCGCCGCCUGCACCGUCCGAUGCUAUGCCACCGGCGAAGGCGUCAACGCAGCCGCCGCCAUUCAUUCCCUACCGUUCAAGCGUUCUCACUCAGCUCCUCAUGCACAGCCUGGAUGGGCACGGCCGAACCGUGAUGGUCGCCUGCGUGAGUCCGAGCGCGCUGCACCUCGAGGAGUCUCUGCGCACGCUCCACUACGCGGAGCGGGCGCGCCACAUUCGCGCGACACCGGUCGUGCACGUCGACGCCGCGACGCAGGCGCGGAUGGCGCUUGAGGAGAAGGUGCAGGAACUGCGGAAGGAGAAUGCGCUGCUGCGCCGCGCGCUGGGGCUUCCGCGAGUCGGCAAAUUGCAGGACGGGCAAGUUGAGGCUCGGCUGGAGGAGCUACAUCGUGCGUGGGCCGCGGCUCAGUUUGCCACACCUCCACAUGAGGUACCGCCACGCAGUGCCGCAGCUCCUCCACGGCUGUCCUCGACUCCACGGAAGGGCUCGCCGCCACAACAGCGACGGGCGACGCGGGUGAGUCCGUCUCGCCCUGCCGUGCCAUUCGUGUCGAAUGGGGCCACUGCUGCGUCAGGCGCAGUUGACCUGCGGACAUCAUCACCGCAGACGGUGGUGAUGUCCUCCACGGAGAGCGAAGCGGAUGAUGGGUCGCCAAGCGCUACGGGCAACGCCGAUCUACCGUCGAGUGUCCCGCGAGCCGCCGCGGUGAGCAUCUUGGACCUGCUGGAGGCGCUGCCGGACACACGGUCGAUGCACACAUAGUAAGUGUAAGCGCAGCUGUCUGUCGCUGCUGGUGCGUGCGCCUCUGCACCGACCCGCACACGUCUUUCCCCCUGUUGG
rnacentral:misc_RNA from 1 species